UUGAUCCCAUGGCUCAGAUUGAACGCUGGCGGCAGGCCUAACACAUGCAAGUCGAGCGGAUGACAGGAGCUUGCUCCUGAAUUCAGCGGCGGACGGGUGAGUAAUGCCUAGGAAUCUGCCUGGUAGUGGGGGACAACGUUUCGAAAGGAACGCUAAUACCGCAUACGUCCUACGGGAGAAAGCAGGGGACCUUCGGGCCUUGCGCUAUCAGAUGAGCCUAGGUCGGAUUAGCUAGUUGGUGAGGUAAUGGCUCACCAAGGCGACGAUCCGUAACUGGUCUGAGAGGAUGAUCAGUCACACUGGAACUGAGACACGGUCCAGACUCCUACGGGAGGCAGCAGUGGGGAAUAUUGGACAAUGGGCGAAAGCCUGAUCCAGCCAUGCCGCGUGUGUGAAGAAGGUCUUCGGAUUGUAAAGCACUUUAAGUUGGGAGGAAGGGCAUUAACCUAAUACGUUAGUGUUUUGACGUUACCGACAGAAUAAGCACCGGCUAAC
rnacentral:rRNA from 1 species